rnacentral:piRNA from 1 species
UCCUGUGCGGAAACACCUUGCUUGGG